UAGAAACUUAGGUUACUUCAAACCAAA
rnacentral:tRNA from 1 species